rnacentral:tRNA from 1 species
AGGCCACUGGCUCAAUUGGUAGAGCUCCGGAUUCCAAAUCCGGCGGUUGGGGGUUCGAGUCCCUCGUGGCCUG